CCUACGGGGGGCUGCAGUGGGGAAUAUUGCACAAUGGGGGGAACCCUGAUGCAGCCAUGCCGCGUGUGUGAAGAAGGCCUUCGGGUUGUAAAGCACUUUCAGUUGUGAGGAAAGGUUUGCGGUUAAUACCCGUAAGCUGUGACGUUAGCAACAGAAGAAGCACCGGCUAACUCCGUGCCAGCAGCCGCGGUAAUACGGAGGGUGCGAGCGUUAAUCGGAAUUACUGGGCGUAAAGCGCACGCAGGCGGUUUGUUAAGCUAGAUGUGAAAGCCCCGGGCUCAACCUGGGAAUAGCAUUUAGAACUGGCAGACUAGAGUCUUGGAGAGGGGAGUGGAAUUCCAGGUGUAGCGGUGAAAUGCGUAGAGAUCUGAAGGAAUACCAGUGGCGAAGGCGGCCCCCUGGACAGACACUGACACUCAGAUGCGAAAGCGUGGGGAGCA
rnacentral:rRNA from 1 species